ACAAAUUCCUCGACAAUUUCUCUUCCCUCAAUAUUAUCCCAGAAAAGGAAAACUAACUUUUCUGUGAUAUUAUUUACAAAUGUGCACAUUUAUUGAAUGUGCCCUGUCCUGCGCAGUGUAUCGGCGUGGAUCAUUUAGAUUUAGAUAAACAUAACCAUAAGCGAUAAACGUAUUCGAGAUUGCGACCGGAAUGUAAUUCAUGAUGUGUAUAAAUUCAAAUACAAAAUGCUACAAAGAGGACGUUAUGGAUGCAAAUUAGAAAUAAACAUCAUAGCACUACUCGAAAAAUUUGUAUGUUAGUUUUAAAACUUCCUGGAGGAAAUGUGUUCUGGAUGACCAACAACGUUAACUGUUUUGAUAUGGAUGUUCUUUUUGUAUAGUGCAGUGAGGUACAUUAAUUCAUUGUAGAAUAUGCAACUUGAUGUUUGGUUGUAGGUAUACCAACGUACGGGUUCCUCGUAAUUGUAAACUUUCGUUGUACAUUAGUUUUCGUAUUGGGUAUUCUAAUUACAGUUCCACCUAAGUCCACCGAUUUUUAUGUUCCACAAUUCGUGCUUACGACAAGCACCACUAAUGCCAACUAUAAGAGCAACCUGCAAAUGUAAAAUAAAUAUGAUGUAACGAGUAACGAUUUGAACGUGUAAUGUUAUAGUAGAUAUGAACUGUCGGGGGUGCUUUUUGAAUAAACAUUUUUACUUUGCUCGUUGAUAGAAUUUUUGACUUUUUAGGGAAAUAGCCGCUGGAUUGCAUUUUUAACAAGGCCUGCAACUUAGCAUAGCUGCUUAUAUCUACAUUAUUGUUCAAAAGUAUCGUAGAGCACAGCAUGGAAUACGUUUUCCACAAUGUGGAUGCUUUAAUUUACUGUGAUAGUUUGCUAAAGUAAGCACUACGUUCUCUGAAAAUGAGUUGGUUUUUUUCUUGUCCUCCACUCCAAAAAUUUGCUGUAUGUAUGUUCGUACACUUUUAGUUUGUCGGGAAGUAAAUUUUUUUGCGUGUUCUGCUUCCACGGUGAUUUCCGGGGGAGUAUUUGAAAGUUCCAUUAAAUCCUCACUGGCCACUGCUAUUCAUUUUCGCGCUACCGGUCCUUAAAAUUUAAUAUCUGGCGCAAGCAUGUCGCCACAUGUGCUCAUUCCAUCACAAGAGCUAGAAUGAAAUUAUUCCACUUCACUAGCAGAGAAUAGGCGAGAUUCUGUUGUUAAAAAAGAAGCAAGUAUGACGUGAUUCUAAGGAAGUAGUAGAAAAAGAUA